rnacentral:rRNA from 1 species
GACGAACGCUGGCGGCGUGCUUAACACAUGCCAGUCGAACGGAAAGGCCCUGCUUUUGUGGGGUGCUCGAGUGGCGAACGGGUGAGCAACACGUGAGUAACCUGCCCUUGACUUUGGGAUAACUUCAGGAAACUGGGGCUAAUACCGGAUAGGAGCUCCUGCUGCAUGGUGGGGGUUGGAAAGUUUCGGCGGUUGGGGAUGGACUCGCGGCUUAUCAGCUUGUUGGUGGGGUAGUGGCUUACCAAGGCUUUGACGGGUAGCCGGCCUGAGAGGGUGACCGGCCACAUUGGGACUGAGAUACGGCCCAGACUCCUACGGGAGGCAGCAGUGGGGAAUAUUGCACAAUGGGCGGAAGCCUGAUGCAGCAACGCCGCGUGCGGGAUGACGGCCUUCGGGUUGUAAACCGCUUUCGCCUGUGACGAAGCGUGAGUGACGGUAAUGGGUAAAGAAGCACCGGCUAACUACGUG